rnacentral:tRNA from 3 species
GCCCGGUUAGCUCAGUUGGUAGAGCACUUGACUUGUAAUCAUGUUGUCGCCAGUUCGAUUCCGGCACCGGGCACCA